UACGUAGGGGGCGAGCGUUAUCCGGAAUUAUUGGGCGUAAAGGGCACGCAGGCGGUCCUGCACGUGCAGGGUGACAGCUCCUGGCUUAACCAGGAGAGGGCCUUCCAAACAACAGGACUUGAGAGCGAGAGAGGGAGACGGAACUCCAGGUGGAGCAGUGAAAUGCGUAGAGCUCUGGAAGAACACCAACGGCGAAGGCAGUCUCCUGGCUCGUCUCUGACGCUCAGGUGCGAAAGCUAGGGGAG
rnacentral:rRNA from 1 species